rnacentral:rRNA from 1 species
GACGAACCGUGCGAACGUUGUUCGGAAUCACUGGGCUUAAAGGGCGCGUAGGCGGCAGUUCAAGUCCGGGGUGAAAUCCUCCAGCUCAACUGGAGAAGUGCCUUGGAUACUGGAUUGCUCGAGGGAGGUAGGGGCCCGCGGAACUUCUGGUGGAGCGGUGAAAUGCGUUGAUAUCAGAAGGAACGCCGGUGGCGAAAGCGGCGGGCUGGAUCUAUACUGACGCUGAGGCGCGAAAGCUAGGGGAGCAAACGGG